UAGCAAGAUUGAAAUCAUGGCAGGUCCAGAAGCUGAUGCCCAAUUCCAGUUCACUGGUAUCAAAAAGUAUUUCAACUCUUAUACUAUCACAGGUAGAAUGAAUUGUGUAAUGGCCACACAUGGAAGCAUUGCUUUGCUGGUUUUAUACUUCAAGUUAAGGUCCAAAAAAACUCCAGCUGUGAAAGCAACAUGAAAAGAUUAUAAACUGUACCUCAUCUGUUAAUUUCCCAUGCCUGGAGAAGCUAAUGUCAACUCAUCAUGUGAUACUCAAUUUAUAUAAUAAAUUAUGAACCUGGAAAAAAAAAAGAA